GACGAACGCUGGCGGCGUGCUUAACACAUGCAAGUCGAACGAAGUGGCGAACGGGUGAGUAACGCGUAAUCAACCUGCUCUUCAGAGGGGGACAACAGCUGGAAACGACUGCUAAUACCGCAUACUGAAGGUGGGGAUUGCGUCUGAUUAGCGAGCUGGAGGGGUAACGGCCUCCUAAGGCGAAGAUCAGUAGCCGGUCUUGGAGGAUGAACGGCCAAAUUGGGACUGAGACAAGGCCCAGACUCCUACGGGAGGCAGCAGGGGGGAAUCUUCCGCAAUGGACGAAAGUCUUACGGAGCAACACCGCGUGAGUGAUGACGGCCUUCGGGUUGUAAAGCUCUUUUAAUCGGGACGCGGUACCGGAAUAGAAAGCCACGGCUAACUACGUGCCAGCAGCCGCGGUAAUUC
rnacentral:rRNA from 1 species